UACGUAGGGUGCAAGCGUUGUCCGGAAUUAUUGGGCGUAAAGAGCUUGUAGGCGGUUUGUCGCGUCUGCUGUGAAAUUUCGGGGCUCAACCCCGAACUUGCAGUGGGUACGGGCAGGCUAGAGUGUGGUAGGGGAGACUGGAAUUCCUGGUGUAGCGGUGGAAUGCGCAGAUAUCAGGAGGAACACCGAUGGCGAAGGCAGGUCUCUGGGCCACUACUGACGCUGAGAAGCGAAAGCAUGGGGAGCGAACAGG
rnacentral:rRNA from 1 species